GUUGCCACGCCCGCCGGGUCAGGUGCGCUCACCAGCAGGGGAACCCGGGAGGCCCCGGCCGUCUACCUAACGUCCAAGAGGACCUGGGGUACCAAGCUUCAUCCAAAGGUGACUUGCCAGCUUUCAGCUCUUGCCUUCUUUGAUGUAGCCAUCUCUUCCCUGCCAAGAUGGACUCUAGCCCUCUGGAAACGGAAGCCAAAGAAAACCCGUUCUUCCUGGAGUUACUUUUGGCCAUGGUAUUUUGUCAUAGCAACAGAAAAGUCACUAAUACAAGAGCAAGUUACACUCAGGUGGAAAUCUAUCUUUUAAUUUUAUGUAGUUUUAUAUUUUGAGCCUAUUUUAAAGUUGUAUUAGCUUUAUAAUUAAAAAGAGAAUAAGUAUGGUACAAACCAGGAAAAUGAUUCUAAUAAUGCCAGUGAUUGGAACAGUGCUGUUAAAAAGACUCACCAAAUUGUUCAAAGGUGGUAGUGUGGGUAAAAGGAAAACAAGAGGUUAAUAAUUCUACGAAUAAUAAUUUACAGGAUAAAUACAGUUAUUCAUAUAUCUACAAAAAGUCCAGUACAACAGCACAAACUUUUAAGUGAGUGGCUAACUUUUAUUAAUCAAAAGUUUCAUUUACAAAUCCACAUGGAAAUGUGGUGAUUUGAAUGAGAAAUGUCUCCUAUAGUCUCCUAAAUUUGA
rnacentral:lncRNA from 1 species